rnacentral:rRNA from 1 species
GACGAACGCUGGCGGCGUGCCUAAUACAUGCAAGUCGAGCGAUCGGCGGACGGGUGCGUAAUGUCUGGGAACCUGCCUGAUGGAGGGGGAUAACUACUGGAAACGGUAGCUACUACCGCAUACCCUCAGAUGUGCCCAGAUGGGAUUAGCUAGUAGGUGGGGUAACGGCUCACCUAGGCGACGAUCCCUAGCUGGUCUGCGAGGAUGACCAGCGAUACUGGAACUGAGACACGGUCCAUGCGCCUACGGGAGGCAGCAGUGGGGAAUAUUGCACAAUGGGCGGAAGCCUGAUGCAGCCAUGCCGCGUGUGUGAAGAAGGCCUUCGGGUUGUAAAGCACUUUGAGCGGGGAGGCGUUACCCGCAGAAGAAGCACCGGCGAACUCCGUGCCAGCAGCCGCGGUAAUAC